rnacentral:lncRNA from 1 species
GCUAACUGGCGCCAUGUCAGGUUCUGCCACUAGGAGGCGCCAGAGGGAGAUCGCAAAGCUGGAGGACCGAAAAGGGACUUUUAUCUUUCAGUGCCCACCAGUUUCAUCCUGGCAUCGAAGUUUGUUUCAGUCUCUAGGUUUUUUCAACACCCCUAGUACCAGCCUCUUAGUCAUUUCUCUGCCCCAUGAUUUACAAAACUCUCCUACUUUAAAAACAACCACCUCUGGGUUUUAAAAACAAUCCCAGCGCCCUGUGUACAAUUUCACAACAAAGGAGAGAAGCGUCAAGGGCUGGGACGAUAGCAGAGGGGUCUGCGCCUGCAUGAAGACCCAAUUUCUUCCCGGGUGGUGGAUAAAGCUAAGGAGAUAAAAAAUGACCUUUCACCUUCGGGAACAGUAAUCGCCACCUCUCUGGAGCCUGUGCGGAGGAUGAAUUAGGAAGAAACAAGGCCAGACCACCAGUUGGCAGACUGCUGAAGUCAAGAAGUCCUCUAAGCCAGAAGUGAUGAUGCCAUGAACCAGGCUUCUUACAGAGUUGUGGAAGCACCAUGUGGACACAUCGCUAAGGUUUGCUGCAGGCAAGAUAAAGUGGUUGUUGAACAGAUGAGUAAGAUAUUCCUUCUCAUAAGUGAGCCUCAAGUGGAAAUUAGCCCAUGGAAAACUGGCUCCUGCACUGAGAUGGACCAAGAGGGACUCAUCGAGGAGGAGGCGCUUCUUACGGCAGGUGUCAGGGGAAACACUCUUGGCGCCUUGUUUGGGAGGUGGAAUUGGGCCUUGCGCAUGUGGCUUGUUCAGAUAAUAUGUGGAGAUCACUUACAUCCUCUUGGCGUCUUCUCUUGGAUCAAGCAACCAAAGUUAAAGGCCUAGAAACCCUCAAACCAUGUUCCCCAGAGCAUUACUCCUGUUGCAUCCUUCCCCAGCCACAUCUACCUGGAACCAAGACAUGGGACAGGACUGCUGCCACUAGCCCCUGUAGUUCCUUCCAGGGAAUUUUUAAAAGGUGCCGCUUCCUCAAGAUACA